AGAUUGAACGCUGGCGGCAUGCUUUACACAUGCAAGUCGAGCGGUAACAGGCCGCAAGGUGCUGACGAGUGGCGAACGGGUGAGUAAUGUAUCGGAACGUGCCCAGUCGUGGGGGAUAACGCGAGCGAAAGCUGCGCUAAUACCGCAUACGAUCUAAGGAUGAAAGGCGGGGACCGUAAGGCCUCGCGCGAUUGGAGCGGCUGAUAUCAGUAUUAGGUUG
rnacentral:rRNA from 1 species